AGUGGGGAAUAUUGGACAAUGGGCGCAAGCCUGAUCCAGCCAUACCGCGUGGGUGAAGAAGGCCUUCGGGUUGUAAAGCCCUUUUGUUGGGAAAGAAAUCCAGCCGGCUAAUACCUGGUUGGGAUGACGGUACCCAAAGAAUAAGCACCGGCUAACUUCGUGCCAGCAGCCGCGGUAAUACGAAGGGUGCAAGCGUUACUCGGAAUUACUGGGCGUAAAGCGUGCGUAGGUGGUUGUUUAAGUCUGUUGUGAAAGCCCUGGGCUCAACCUGGGAACUGCAGUGGAAACUGGACAACUAGAGUGUGGUAGAGGGUAGCGGAAUUCCCGGUGUAGCAGUGAAAUGCGUAGAGAUCGGGAGGAACAUCCAUGGCGAAGGCAGCUACCUGGACCAACACUGACACUGAGGCACGAAAGCGUGGGGAGCAAACAGGAUUAGAUACCCUGGUAGUCCACGCCCUAAACGAUGCGAACUGGAUGUUGGGUGCAAUUUGGCACGCAGUAUCGAAGCUAACGCGUUAAGUUCGCCGCCUGGGGAGUACGGUCGCAAGACUGAAACUCAAAG
rnacentral:rRNA from 2 species